rnacentral:rRNA from 1 species
UGCAAGUCGAACGAUGAUCCCCAGCUUGCUGGGGGGAUUAGUGGCGAACGGGUGAGUAACACGUGAGUAACCUGCCCUUGACUCUGGGAUAAGCGUUGGAAACGACGUCUAAUACCGGAUAUGACUCCUGGCCGCAUGGUCUGGGGGUGGAAAGAUUUUUUGGUCAAGGAUGGACUCGCGGCCUAUCAGGUAGUUGGUGAGGUAAUGGCUCACCAAGCCGACGACGGGUAGCCGGCCUGAGAGGGUGACCGGCCACACUGGGACUGAGACACGGCCCAGACUCCUACGGGAGGCAGCAGUGGGGAAUAUUGCACAAUGGGCGAAAGCCUGAUGCAGCAACGCCGCGUGAGGGACGACGGCCUUCGGGUUGUAAACCUCUUUUAGUAGGGAAGAAGGGAGCUUGCUCUUGACGGUACCUGCAGAAAAAGCACCGGCUAACUACGUGCCAGCAGCCGCGGUAAUACGUAGGGUGCAAGCGUUGUCCGGAAUUAUUGGGCGUAAAGAGCUCGUAGGCGGUUUGUCGCGUCUGCUGUGAAAUCUGGGGGCUCAACCCCCAGCCUGCAGUGGGUACGGGCAGACUAGAGUGCGGUAGGGGAGAUUGGAAUUCCUGGUGUAGCGGUGGAAUGCGCAGAUAUCAGGAGGAACACCGAUGGCGAAGGCAGAUCUCUGGGCCGUAACUGACGCUGAGGAGCGAAAGCAUGGGGAGCGAACAGGAUUAGAUACCCUGGUAGUCCAUGCCGUAAACGUUGGGAACUAGAUGUAGGGGCCAUUCCACGGUUUCUGUGUCGCAGCUAACGCAUUAAGUUCCCCGCCUGGGGAGUACGGCCGCAAGGCUAAAACUCAAAGGAAUUGACGGGGGCCCGCACAAGCGGCGGAGCAUGCGGAUUAAUUCGAUGCAACGCGAAGAACCUUACCAAGGCUUGACAUAUACCGGAAACGUCCAGAGAUGGUCGCCCCGCAAGGUCGGUAUACAGGUGGUGCAUGGUUGUCGUCAGCUCGUGUCGUGAGAUGUUGGGUUAAGUCCCGCAACGAGCGCAACCC